AUAAAUUAUUGAUAAUUUUUAUCUUACAGUUACACUUUUGAUUGAUGUACAUGUUUUCUGUGUUGUUUUUAUUUUUUCUUUUAUAGUUCUUGUAUUCAUAACAAUAACAAAUUACAUGUUCAUGAAUAAUUAUCAUUUCAGAUUAAGGCACAUGCCUUUCAUUUCAUUUUCAUUUUAGAAUGUUAAUGGUUGCUGAACAAAUUCUCAAAGAUUUUAAUUUCAGUGGGUUUUUAAAAAAUGAAGUGUCGUUUUAUACAAUUACGUAGCGAUAAGUAGUGUUCAAUGUUGAAGCUAGACAAGUUUCAAUUUAUACGUUGUCGUUAAAUUUUUAAUGGACGCAAUAGUUUUAGUUUAUAAAUAUCAAAAAAUUGAUAUUUGAUAUUUCGUUAUUGUUUUUAUCCUUAAAAUAUGAAUAAAAAAUUUUGAAAAUUG
rnacentral:misc_RNA from 1 species